CCCGGAGAACUGCUCAUUCAUUGCUGUCAAUCUAAGGACGUGACGAGACAGCACAACCAAUACCAGUUCACAUUGUGCUCUAAAGAAAAAAAAAAACCUCAGAUUAAUAUUAUGAGAGGCGGGACUCACUCAUCUCUACAACAGCAGCUCUUAUUACGUUCUAGCUGAAUUUUUCAAGGGAGAGAGAUAUAAAAAAACAAAACAUCCAGGUAGUAAGGAAGGAGCCAAGGCAGGAAAGUGUCAGAUAGACUUCAC